rnacentral:lncRNA from 1 species
UAACUGUAAGCAAAAAGAUUCAUUCUUCAUCACUAUUAUGUACUAUCGUGAUAUACUGCUAGGUGUCAUUCACGGACGGUGAGAAAAUAAGAAUAAUUCAAAUUGAAUUGUUCUUAUUUAUCGAUUAGAAGAGUUCUAAUUAAAUAUCAAAGAGUUUGAUGUUGAGCUCCACUGCCGAAUGGUAAUGAACCUAUGCGGUCACACACAUUAGGAAUUGUGUGCGCCCAAAUCGUUUGAAUGAGAGUCAUUCAC